UAUGUUGGUAUGCGAUGAAGACAAUCGAACGGCGCAUGAUGGAGUUGUCCCUAGUAGUAGCAUGUGUACAGCUCUUGUAGAACAUAGAUAGGUACACUACAGGUUGUCUUCAUGUGAUACAAGCUCCUCUCACCAAAACACCAAAUGUGAAACCUCAAUUCCCACCUUCUAAUUUAUAUUUCUUUAAUCAUAUAUAUGUUAUUAUUACUAUUUCAUAUUUGGUCGCAAUCUCAAGUUUUAACUUCAAGAUGAACCAAUCCAUGUGUGGUGGGACUCGUAGUUUUU
rnacentral:lncRNA from 1 species